rnacentral:rRNA from 1 species
GAUGAACGCUGGCGGCGUGCCUAAUACAUGCAAGUCGAGCGAACAGACGAGGAGCUUGCUCCUCUGACGUUAGCGGCGGACGGGUGAGUAACACUUGGAUAACCUACCUAUAAGACUGGGAUAACUUCGGGAAACCGGAGCUAAUACCGGAUAAUAUAUUGCACCGCAUGGUUCAAUAGUGAAAGACGGUUUUGCUGGCACUUCUAGAUGGAUCCGCGCCGCAUUCCCUAGUUGGUAAGGUAACGGCUUACCAAGGCAACGAUGCGUAGCCGACCUGAGAGGGUGAUCGGCCACGCUGGAACUGAGCCACGGUCCAGACUCCUACGGGGGGCAGCAGUAGGGACCCUUCCGCAAUGGGCGAAAGCCUGACGGAGCAACGCCGCGUGGGUGAUGAAGGUCUUCGGGUCGUAAGACUCUGUUAUUAGGGAAGAACAAAUGUGUAAGUAACUAUGCACGUCUUGACGGUACCUAAUCAGAAAGCCACGGCUAACUACGUG